rnacentral:rRNA from 1 species
CACGUAGGCACCAAGCGUUGUCCGGAUUUAUUGGGCGUAAAGAGCUCGUAGGCGGUUCAGUAAGUCAGGUGUGAAAUCUUUGGGCUUAACCCAAAGCGUGCACUUGAUACUGCUGUGACUUGAGUUCGGUAGGGGAGUGGGGAAUUCCUAGUGUAGCGGUGAAAUGCGCAGAUAUUAGGAAGAACACCGGUGGCGAAGGCGGCUCUCUGGACCGAUACUGACGCUGAGGCGCGAAAGCGUGGGGAGCAAACAGG